CAAUCGACUGCGCUCUCUGCUACGUGUGACGCCACACGUAGCGGCCAAGAUGGCGCUGGUAUCUGGAGCUGAGGCUUCUUGGCGACCUUUACUCCAGCGAGGUUAGGUACAUAGCUUCGUUUCUGAAGGGCGAUUGAGGAUUAGGAUCAGAUUCCUCAGCGUCGUGGGGGCAAAUAUCAGUGUCCUCCAGCCGCCUAGACGACCACUCGAGAAGAGAUAGUCCACGCUUUACGAGAACAGUGAACAUCGCAGAGAUCCUGCCCCGAUCUCGGGGUAACCGAGUUGCGAGUAGAGAAGGAGAACCGGAGGUUUUUCGACCGGGUUCCUGCAUACGUGAAGUGGGAAUGAUAAUGGUAUCUGGCGCUAUAUCUGUCAAAGGAAAGAAGCAGAAGGGGUUUAUUUGAGGCACUACAACGUGGUAGGUUCACCCUCAGCCUUUGGUCUUGUUUAAUCACUCAACAAUUUUGUAAAGGUCUUGUCACCCCAUACUUUACAGAUAGAAAAGCGCCCAGUAUAUUGUUAUUCAGGGCCGUGAGAUCGAAGCCAGUGCCUGGUAUUUUUGAAGAUUCUAGCAAAUUUUGUGGUUGUCCUCCCUCUAAAUUUUGCCCUUAUGGUAAUAUAGGAUGCGGUAGAAAUGCUUAAGUCAAAAGGAGUUUUUAUUAUGGAUUCUGCUAUUUCCAUUCCUUCUCAAAAAAUAGAGUUGCGGCUGAGCAAGCAGCUGAGUGGUAGAGUGCGGGAGGUCCUCGGUUUGAUUCCCCAGCUCCGCGGAGGGAAAAAAAGAAGAAAGGAAAGUAGGAAGGGUUAAUACUACCCAGUGGGGAUGUUGUGAUACACAACUUAGAUAAAAGUUUUUUUUAUAUAUAAAUUAUGAACCAGUAUGAAUAAAUGUGUGAGAUCAUUGGUGUUGGAGGAUAGGAAGAGAAAAUAAGUGACAGCAUUUAAAUUUCCUACCCUACCUUACCCUUCCUCUUUGAUCUUCCAGUACAUUUGUUUGAGGCCAGUAGCUUAAGAAUUCUUGGUAAGAUGGUAAAUGAAAUCUUAAUAGAAGACUUCGUAAAAUUUAACAUACAUUCUUGGAUUUGAGCCUUGCAACAUCUCAGGCAAUUGUAAUUAAGGUCCAAUUAAGGGCUGGGGAUGUGGCUCAAGCGGUAGCGCGCUAGCCUGGCAUGCCUGCGGCCGUGUUGUGUCCGCCGAGAACUAAAAAAUAAAUAUUAAAAAAAAAAUCUCUCUCUCUCUCUCUCAAAAAAAAAAAAAAAUCCAAUUAAUUAAUUGGGGUUGUGGCUCAGUGGUAGAGCACUUUCCUAGCAUGCAUGAGUCUCUGGGUUCCAUCUCUGGCACCACAUAAAAAUAAAUAAAAUGAAGGUACUGUGUCCAUCUACAAUUUAUAUAUCCCCCAUGCUAUGAAUGAAACUGGAACUCAUCCAGUUUCACACAGCUAGGAAUUGAUAACUGGGCUGUGUAACCCCAAGUCUUUUGGAACUCCAAGUGUCCUUUCUGUACAAGGAAUAUCAAAAUGGCAGAAAUGGAAAUAUAAGGACUUAUAAAAACAGAGCCUUACAUGAGAAGCACCAUUUAAGUGAAUGUGGUUACCUGCAUUUGCUAGGUGCCAACCAUUUUUCUAAACAAUUUAAAGUUAGUAUAGUUACCAACCACUUCUUGAGGUAGAAACUGUUAUCCCUAAUUACAGUUAAGGCAACUGAGGCAGAAGAAGGAGGUUAAAUAGCUUGAUAAAGGUCAGACGUAGUUUUUAACGAGCUCCUAAGUGAUGGUGCUGUCAACCACUACUUUCUACCUCACUCCCCUUUUUUCCUAAUAAUUUUUAUUUAUUUAUUUUACUUUUUUUUGCAAUCAGAAACUACUGUUUACAUUUUGUCUCUAGCUGCUUCAUAAUAUUUUCUUCUUAAAGGAUCAGACUCAAACUACCCUCAAAAAACUUUCCCUACCCCUACCAUUCCCUAUAGGAUGAAACAGGCAGUCAAUCCCAUGUCUGUCCCCACAUCACUUACUACACACGUCAUUACAAAGCGCAGAACACUAAUUUAUGGUCAUUUGAAAAUUCCUGACUAUAGAUAACAAUUUUUUUAAGGCAAGGGGCCCACCAGAUCUGUGUACUCUUGUGCCUAACACAUAACUAAAAUGUAUCCAGGGCUUUCUCUGUUCCAGGUGCCUCAUACUAGCCCCAUUUUAUGAAUGAAGAAAUUAAGCCAUAGAAUGUUUAAAUAACUUGCCCAAGGUAACAGGCUAGUAAUUAGCAAAACCAUGAUUUCAUGUGAAGGUACUUUGGCUCCAGGAAGUGUGUGGUCAAUAAAAUGAGAGUCACCCUACACUUACAAAGAAAAAACUUAAGUGUUUUGUUUGUUUGUUUUGUUGGUUUUUUUUUUUUUUUGGGGGGGGGGGGGGGGGGGGUGGGUGUGAUGCUGGGGAUUGAACCCAGGGCCUUGUGCAUGCAAGGCAAGCACUCUACCAACUGAGCUAUAUCUCCAGGCCCCAAAACUAAGAUUUAAUUAUCCUAUUAGACACAAAUAAUUAUAACUACCUCUAGCCUGGGAAAAUGUACAAAAGCAUAAUACCUGUAUAAGCUUCAUUCCCCUACUAACUAAGCAGCUUGGCCUUAAAUUUCAAGAUGCCUUCUAUCUACCACUCUUUUAUUGUCAUGCUAUAUUGGUAAAGGUAGAUCUCACCAUUAUGACAAAAGUGUCUGUGAAAGGCAAAUUAGAAUGGGUAAGUCCUUAGAGAUUUGUUUCUACAUUUUAAAAAAAGAAAAGAAAAAUCAGUUAUGGUCGUGGAUGCCAUUAAUUAAGCAGCUUGGGAAGCUGAGGCAGGAUGAUCACAAGUUUAAGGCCAGUCUGGGCAACUUAGCAAGACUCGUCUAAAAAUAAAAAAAGACUGGGAAUGUGGCUCAGUGGUAUAAUGUCCCUGGAUUCAAUCCUCAGUACUGAAAAAAUAUAAUGAGAUCUGAAGAAGUCAACAGUUUAACCAAAGUCAAUGGGAAUUUCAUGGCAGUACUGGAGCUGGACUUUGUUGACUGCUCUUCUCUAUACAAUAUGGCCCUUAAAUUCUUACUUUUAGGAAGUUUAUUACCACACUGAUAAUAGCCAAAGUGUGUACUAAGAAUGGAAAUAGCAAGACAAAAGAGUAGAAUAUCAAAUAUUAGAUAACAUAAGUAGAUCCAGGAGACAGAAAAAAAUAAACUGGAGAUACCUUAGAAUUACAUGCCCAGGUUCAAAGGAUUAUCAAAAACAAUUCUGAACAAUCUAAAAUGGAUCGGAAAGUAAUUAUCAGUUGUCUUCAUUCAGCACCCUCGCCUUCCAUUGAAUUUUUGUAGUUUCUGCUUCCCAAAUAGCAAGCUUCAUUAUUUUAGUGGAGUGACAGGUCCUUAUCACCUAUGUGGAUUGGGCUUUUUACAAACCCUUUUCCUUCACAGGAACUUCAGUGUAGCCUUUGCCCAGUACAUCCACCAUAUUGCUACGGCUGUCAGAGUGAGCAGUCAAAAACUCAUUGUAUCAGUUCUCUUAAAUUUUUCCAUGACUCCUAAUUACCAACAAAAUAAAAAUUAUAGUGUUUUUUGCAAGCAAGCCUGUGCUAGCUGUAUAUCUCACCUUUUCCUAGAGCACUGCUGCCACCUCUUUACCUUGUCUAGAAUCUUGCAUUUUCCUUAAAUUCAUUGGUUCUCUUGAAGUUCUUUUGAGACUUCUUCCUGCUCUCCCACCUUCCAUGUCUUGAACCAGGAAUAAAAAUUGACAUUCUUGUAACUUCUCACUACGAUAUCCAAACCAAUCUACAUUGAGGCUUUCACCAUUAAGCCAUGUAAUCUCCAUUCCUUCACUGUUAGGGAGAAGAUUUUUGACAAGUGUGCUAUCAUCAGCUUAAGUUGCUUCAUUGUCCACUGUGACCUUAACACCAGUAUAAAAGCCUUUCAUUACUGCUGCUGUUCAUUUCUGGGACCAUAUCUUGCACUUUGUUCUCCUGAACUGUUCUGAAUAUCAGCAGCCAUGGCAGUUCAUGUUCUAAACAAAUCCUUCUUUUAUUUCAGAUUUCUUAGUCCUUUGCACUCACCAAACCUGCUCUUCAACUUCAGUGAAAUCUGCUGGCUUACAGUUUUCCUAGUUCUCCAAGUCUGUUCCCCUUCACUGGAUUUACUUCUUCCCAUUCUAUCCUGGACCCUACAGUCAUUUAUUUCAAACUCAAGUCUUUUCAACACUUUUCAAUGUCUCUCUCCUUCCACAUUGACCCUAAAACAGACCUUAACUACAGGUCAGUUUCUUCCUUACAUCCUUGCCCCUUAUGUAUAGAACUAUUAACCAUUAGUGCAUCAUAAAUUAUCCCAAAUUUUAGGGGCUUAACAACAUUUAAUAUGUGUAUUAUAAAUUUCAUACUGUUUUUGCAAUUUCUGUUGGAAUCAAAAGUGGCUUAGCAUAGGGCAGAGGGGUGGGAAGGAAAGGGAAGGGGCAGGGGAUUAGCAAGGAUAGUGGAAUGUGUUGGACAUCAUUAUCCAAAGUACAUGUAUGAAGACACAAAUUGGUGUCAACAUACUUUAUAUACAACCGGAGAUACGAAAAAUUGUGCUGUAUAUGUGUAAUAAGAAUUGUAAUGCAUUCGCUGUCAUUUAAUUUUUAGAAAAAUCAAUAAAAAAAUAAAUCGAAACAAAAAGUGACUCAGCUAGGUGAUUUUUGCUCAGGUCUCUCAAGAGUUUGCAGUCAUCUGAGCCUAAUAGACUGGAGGGUCAGUUUCCAAAGCAGCUCACUCAGUGUGGUUGGCAAGUUAGAAAGGCAAGAGGUCUCAGUUCCUUAGUAAGUGGAUCUCCCUACAAGGUUGAGCAUUUUCAGGAUGUGGUAGCUGAGUUGCCCCAGAACAGUGAUCCAAAAAAGAACAGUAUAAAAGCUACAGUAUCACAAUGUGUACAUAUGUAGGAAUAUAUGAUAUAAAAUGAAGUUUAUAUAUACAUGCAUAAAUGGAUAUAACACAUCCCCUGAAAGGGAAUUUGUACAAAGCAGAAAAGCUAGAAAAACUUGAUGGGAACAAGUUGAAAGAGCAUUAGAUAGCAUUUGCCAGGUGCGGUGGUUCACUCCCGUAAUACCAGUGGCUUGGGAGGCUGAGACAGGAAGAUUUCCAGUUCAAAGGUAGCCUUAGCGGGGGGGAAAGCAUGGCACUAAGCAACUUAGUGAGACCCUAUCUCUAAAUAAAAUACAAAAUAGGGCUUAGGAUGGGCUCAGUGAUCAAGUGCUCCUGAGUUCAGUCCCCAGUAACCCCCCAAAAAAAAAAAAUGUGUGUGUGUGUGUGUUAGAUAGCAUUUAUUGAAGACCCAUUAUAAAAGAAUAACUGGUGUGCAUCUCAUUUAAACCUUAUGCUGUCCCUAAGAUAUUAGUAAUUAUUGUUCAUUUUACACCUGAGGAACCAAGCCCUAGACAAAAAAAUUAUUCAUCCAAAGUCACGUAUCUCCGAAGACUCUUCCCAAGAACACACAGAUAUUAAGGAAUUCUAGCUAUCCACGUUUGCCUAACAAACCAUUGCUCACAAAUUUCUAAUUUGAGUAGGGCUUUGUAGGGUUAAUUAACCUCUACUCACAUCAUCUGGACCAGUCUGAAGGCUGAGAGAUGAGGUAUGGAAUCAUCUAAGAGCUCUUUUAUUUCUAUAAUCAACGUAGGCUGUUGACUGGAAUCUGGUGAGGUUAUCAGCUGAAACAUCUGUUUGUGGCAUCUCCAUAUGAGGUAGGCUUCUUUACAACAUAUGGGCAGGUUCCAAGGCAAGUGACCAGAGAGAGAAAGAUGAGGAAAUUAUCAUUUUUAUAAUGAAACUCUGGAGGCAAUUUAGCCUUAUUUCUACCAUAUUUAUUAGAACAGUCAAGCCUACCUAGAUUCAAGGAAAAGGAAAAUAGAUUCCAUCUCUUGAUGGAAGUGUGGUAGAAUUCAUAAAGACCAUGUGGGACCAGGACUAUUACUGUGGCCAUUUUUAGAAAAUAUCAACUGCCACAGUUCGUAACAAUUUAUAUCCUCCCCUACAUGCAAAAAUAGUCCUUCAAUUUCCUUUACCCAGGAUCCCUCAGAGUUUCUUCCCAUUAUGGCAGAAGACUUAGGCUUGAGGACCAGGAUUCUGUCAUCUAAAUCAGGGCCGGGUGUAGGUGAGAUUUCUCAGAUGUAGUUCCUCUCCCUGUGAAGACCUGAGAACUAAAGAGACUUUUCACUAUACAUCCAACAUACAAUGGUGGAACAGCCAUAGGAUAACCACUUUACACAUUUAUGUUAAAAAGGGAAGCAAAGGCACACAGAGUCAUUGGACCAUAAUAAUUCUGAAACUUUCUCUAAUAAGGGCUCAAGUCUUAUGGCCUAUGCAUGAUCCUCUGCAGCUCUUGAUUCCACCUUUAGUACUUUGUGAGUUCAGCUUUCUGAGUCAUUCUUUUUCCAUUUAAAAAAAAAAAAAAGCUGAUGUUUGAAGCCAAGUAAUUUCUCAUUCUUCCAGCUCAGAGAAGUUCAGGAAUCCAAAGGCCAAUUUUCUUUUUAAGCAUUCUGUUGCUUUUGAUCUAAAUGUGAAGUAUUUACUUGGAUACAAUUCUCUUUAAAAGUUUGUUUAGUUGUUUUGUUUGCAGUACUGGGGAUCAAACCCACAGCUCACACAUGCUGGGCAAGUCCUCUACCAAGGCUACAUCUCCAACCCUGAAUCUUUCUAACAAACCAUAUGAAAAACCCACUAACAAACCUCAAGAUAAACUCUUCUGAAUCUUGCUCUUCCUGUAAGGGUAUUGUGGGGCAAUAAGCUUAACAUUUAUUACAAUUUUAUUAUUUAUUAAAGAUCUUCAAGGCAUACUUCUAAGAUCCUCAGCAGGGAGCUGGGCUGUAUGUAGCUCAGUGGCAGAGCUGCUUACCUAGCAUGUAUGAGGCACUAUGUUCAAUCCUUAGCACCACAUAAAAAUAAACAAAUACAAUAAAAGCAUUCUGUCCAUCUUCAACUACAAAAAAAAAAAAUUUAAAAACAAAAAAGAUCAUCAGCAGGACUUUUGUCUGAAGCGCCACCAUAACUGAGGUCAUGCCCUUGACUUUACCUUUAGACCAUGUUGUCCCAAUAGCACCCAAGAUUUAAUCUCCAUCCAGAAGUAAUUUCUUAAUUUUAAUAUCAUCUGCCUUCUGUAGAAGCUAAGAAUGAUAAAUUUUUAUUUUUAAAAUUACCAAGUCCUGGCUCCCUUAUCAUUUUUUUGAAUACUUUUAGUUGUAGAAGAACACAAUACCUUUAUUUAAUUUAUUUAAAUGUGAUGCUGAGGAUCUAUCCAAAUGCCUCACAUAUACUAGGCAAGCAACCCCAACCCCUCCCUUAUCCCUAAUAGUUUAUUCUUUCUUUCUCUCUACUUUGUUUAGAAAGCUUAUCAAUAAGGCCAUCUAAUCCAUUAGGCACAUUUUUUAUUUCCAUGUUAUCACAAGUGACAAUAUCACUAGAAUUUCUUCUUUUUUUCCCUUUUGCAAAAAACUGAGGAUUUUUUUCCUUUGCUGUACUGAGGAUUGAACCCAGACUAGACAAGCUUUCUGCCACUGAGCUACAACUACCACCCCUUUUGUUUUUUGAGACAGUCUCACUAAGUUAAUCAGGCUGGCCUCAAAUUUAUGAACCUCCUACCUUAGUAGCUGAGAUUACAGGUGUGCUGUACUAUGCCCAGCUGCUGACAGCCCUUUUGAAGACCUUUAGGUUUUCUCCAAGACAAUCCACUAACACUGGUCACAAAACUGUAUCUUAGAUAUAUAUUAUAAGAGUAUUCCACUCCUGGUAUCAAAAUUUGACCUGGUGAUCAAUUGCUGCAUAACAAAACAAAAUUUUUUGGCCCCAAAUAGUAAGAUUUAUUUUCACCCAAGAAUCUGAAAUUUGAUCAGGGUUUGGCAGGAACAUUGGCCAUUUUUAGGAAAUGCAAACUGCAACAGUCAAACCAAGAUUUAAAGUUAGAUCUGAUUUCAGAAACACAUGGUUUUCCCACUGUAUCUGCAUGAUACAAUUGUCUUGCUUUUUAGAUGGAUGAAUAUUAAAUUUUAAAACCAAAAUGAUCUGUGUGCAAAAGAAGAAUUAAAGGGGGAAAGAUAUAAUCUGAAAACAAACUACACAGAACUGCCAACCAGCUCCAUACUAAUAUGGUGAAAGCAGUUAGUCUCUGCUUUUACUUUGCUGUAAAAAAGAAUUGCGUUGUAUAAGCAAGGGAGUAAUUCUUUAAGGUUAGGUGUGUCAUUUCUCUCCUAAAAAAUGAUUUCAGUUAAACAUUAAAGAAUUUGCAUAUUAGUAAAGUUCAUUUUUUGUUUAUUAUUGAGUACUCACUGGGUGAAGCAGUGUGCCUGACUCUGGAGAACAGAUUAAUAAACUGCCUUUUGAGAUCUCAUAAUUUACAGAGGGGAGACAGAUGUAUAGAUAAUUGCCAUAGAGAUGGUGUCUGUGGUUUUAUGAAGUUGUGAGUAAAAGAGUUAAGGAGCCACUCACUCUUCUGGGAGCUAGCAAGAAAAAGUUACCAAAAAGACAACACAUAAGCAGGGCCUUAACAGAUAGGAUUAAAUAAAGAACAGAUACUCAAAGCAGAGAAAGAAAUAGCAAUGGCAGAUUCACAAGCAUAAACACUGGAAUUUGGGGGAAACACAAACACAAACAUUUCAGUUUAGUCAGGGAUUUUUGAGUCGCCUCAUCACUAAUCAGAGAUGAAAGUUCUGACUCUCACUAAGCCUUAUCUGAUACCUUCCCACCAGAGAAGGGGAGGGGCACUACAUUACCACCAGGUGCAGAUAGAAAUCCAUGGUCUACAUGUGGCAUUUAUUGAGAGGGAAAGGGGGAAGUAUUGAGAGAAGGCCUUGCUACUGCUCUUUGGGUUUUAUAUAUAUAUAUAUAUAUAUAUAUAUAUAUAUAUAUAUAUAUAUAUAUGUAGUUGGACACAAUACCUUUAUUUUAUUUGUUUAUUUUUAUGUGGUGCGGGGGAUUUGAACCCAGUGCCUCACGCAUGUUAGACAAGCACUCUACCACUGAGCCACAGCCCCAUCCCUUGCUACUACCCUUUGAGAAUGAUAGUCCAAGCUUCCCUCUGUCUUCUCUGACAUGAACACAGGAGUGGGGAGAGGGAAUUAUUUCAUUUCAGCCUGGCUAGGGUUUGGCCUUUGUGGGGGAAGAGGGUGUUCUGUUGUAUUCAGCUGGAGUAAAGCACUUAUAGUCUUAGCAGUUUUCUGUCUUGUGAGGCUGCUCCUUUCCUAAAGUUUCUUUUACAAGAGAGAGCUAGACUUCUCAAGGCUUUAAAAAAAAAAAAUCUACCCAUUGGGCAUUUCUGAGUAGUAACUUCUCCCUUGCCCACUCCAGAAUACAUGAGAUAAAAAGAAAACCCAAAGAACUCAGCACCAUGGUAUUCUUUGAGUAUUAAGUUCUGCGCUGGCCAAUCUGCUUCUCCACCUUUCAUAGUCGUUGUUGUCGUCGUUGUCUUCUUCUUUGGUAAUUAUUCGUUCUUUUUAGUUAUGCAUGACAGAAGAGUGUAUUUUGAUAUGUUUUAUAUAUAUGUCAGUGUUAUGUUUAUGUGUGUUUUACAUAUAAUAUUUUAAAUGUAAUGUCCAGGAUUUUUAAUUCUACCUAGAAAAAGAGUAGAAGUAAAUAAACUACAUCUUCCUGUAAAUGAAAGUCUCAGUUGAUUUUUCAUAAAGGUGUGAAGGCAAUGCUCUGUGCAAGAGACCUCAGAGAAUGAAAAGGCAGGCUGCAUGCAAAACACUUAACUGACAAAAAUAAACAGCCCAAUUUAAAAAUAGGUUAAAAAAAAAAAAAAAAACAACAAAAAACCUUGAAAAGACUCUUAACCAAAGAGAAAAAUAUGCACACAAAAUGUGCUGAACAUGAUAAGUUAUUAGAGAAAAGCAAAUAAAAAAAUCACUAUGUGAUGCCACUAAUAAAAUGGCUAGAAUAAAAUAUCCUGACAAUGCCAAAUUCUAGUGAGGAUGUGGAGCCACUCAUUCAUUGCUGGUGGAAUGCAAAAUGGAACAGAAGGUUCAAAAUACACUUAUGAAAUGCUGUGGGAGUAACGCCUAUAAUUCCUGCAGCGUGGGAAGCUGAGGCAGGAGGAUUGCAAGACCCUGUCUCUAAAUAAAAUAUUUUUUUAAAGGGCUGGUGAUAUAGUUCAGUGGUUAACAUCCCUGGGUUCAAAAUCCCCAGUACAAAAAAAAAAAAAAAUUAUGGGAGCAAGAAAAGGAUUUUUCCCAUCACAGAGGGCUUCGUAGCACGGUAGCAUUUAAACUGUGCCUCAUAAAAUUAUCAGGUGUUUACCAGGCAGAAGUGAGGGGAGAAUAUCAGGAGUCUCAAGGCAGGGGAGUAAGAGAUGUAAAGCACAGAAACACAAGAGGACAUAUAGCAUGGCAACCUCUAAAAGCAAAGUGAGCUGAAUGUGAUGGCACAAGCCUAUUAUUGAGAGACAUAGCAAAGAGGAUUGUGAGUUCAAGGCCAGACUGAGCAAGUUAUCUAGACCCUGUCUCAAAAAAAAAACAAAAAAAAAAAAAACAGCAUAACAUGAGGAAUGUUAGAUUCUUUGUAGUCCUCAGCUGGGAGUUUUUGCCAAAUAACUUCAAGCCCUCUAUCAAAAACUGUGAUGGACACUCCGGGAUGAAAAUCUUAGAUGUCCUCUGAGCUGGUUUCUAUGCCCUAACAGUUUCUGGGUCUGUAAUUUCCAUAGUACCUCAUGGGAGAGCACAAGACUUAAUAACACACGUGAUUGCUAUUUAAUCCUUGUUGUAACCUGAGUGGCAAGAAUUUUGCCUGUGCCUUGGACAGUGAUUUGACACUGAUUAAUGACUUGAUUAUUAGGAAGCCAAAGAGAAUUGCAAAUGAAAACAGAAAUAAAGACACAGUUUCACACAUUGAGUUUUCCCUUAGUUCAUUUUGGAAAAAAAAGGCAUUUUUUUUAAGGUUCACCCAAGUGCUAAGAUUCCUCAGGUGAAGAGCUGAUGAUAAUCAGUAAUUAUCCAAGGUGAGAUCCAAGAUAUUUCAUAAAGAUGGAAAUAAUAACCCUGUCAGAAAUGGAAAUGGAAAUCAGCUAUUAUGGGGGGAGGGACCUAUAAAUUCAAACAUAAUAUCCAACUUGUCUUCACCUCAGAGAGUUUCCAGCUGUUUAUGACGUUCUGCUAUGAUUUGCCAGAGAUGAAAUGCAUUUUUUAAAACUCUGCUGUAAGCCAGCUGAACGUAAGGCUUGGAACCAUAUUCUUUUUCAAGAAGUGUUGAGCACUUGUAAAGUCUGCAGAGAAAUGAUAGAAGGUGUCCACUUUCUUGUCAGUUCCAAUUAAGAUCUUUCCCUUGUGACCCCAGCGUUGAUCAUUAUUUUCUAAGUGAGCUAGUAGAAGAUCAGGUCAGGUCUCUCUUGGGUUGAAAGGGCACUUGUUGAGAAGCUGUGGGCUUUAAAGGUAUCACUUCAAGGCCAGCAGUUCAUAUCCAACCCUUGUUAAAGGCAGAGGUAAUAGAGGAACACACGCUUAUGGAGAGCUCAGGGAGUAUAUUGUUGAGAAAUGAUUACAGGAAGGAAAUGAUCCAAAUAAUGCUUGUAUGAGUAUGUGCACAUGCACACACAAACACAUGCACAUGCACACAAACAUCCUGCAUAUAAGGCAGUAGUAAUAGCAGUUAUCUUACCAUAUUAUGUUUAGUUGGAGACUCCUUGAGAGCAAUGACUGAAGCUUUUAAAGCUCUGAAUCCUCAGCAGUACAGAAUUAAUAAAUGGAGUGUUGAAUCUGAGAAGGCAGUGACACAGGCAUGUGGCAAUGUUUUUCCAAUAGUCACACCACCCUACCUGAGUUCCCCACAAACAGGCCUUGCCCUUCAUGCCCUACCUUGUGGCUGUAUCCCUCUCAUUCAUUCUCUUCCUAGAAUAUUUUACCACAUCCCUUCUUCCACCUCUUUGCCUUUUUAAGUCUUUCAGAAUCCUUGUUCCGUGUAGUCAUCUCACUGUCUUUUCUUUUUUAGAUUUCUUUUUUUUACCUUUCUUUUAUUUGUUUAUUUUUAUGUGGUGCCGGGGAUCAAACCAGUGCCUCACGCAUGCUAGGCAAGUGCUCUACCACUGAGCCACAACCCCAGCCCUGUCUUUUGAAAAUAAUUCUCUAAGCACUAAUGGGAGCAGGGAAUGUUCCUUAGAAGUCAGAAAGUUCUGAAUUUGAAUCCCAGUUCCACCAUUUUUCAAGUUCUUUACAUCAAGUUCAAGUUACAUAACCUCUUUAUGCUUCAAUUUCCUCCAGAUGGGUUUUUUGGAAUGAUUUUAUGUGAUAAAAUAUGUAAAGCACCUUGCUCAGUGACUGAUACAGGAUAGAUUAUCAAUGAAUAAAUGUUAGCCUUGCUCACCUUCCUGUAUGAAACCCAGGUCAGUUUAUUAAGUAUUAGUUUCCUCUGCCUAUACAUUAUUUGACACCUCUCUGGUUCCUAUCUCCAACUUCUCCAUUUCUUUAUCAGAUACAUUUACCACUUUCACCAUUCCAGAGUUCUUAUUUAUGCCUUUUUUCUGGAACUUACUUACUAUAGGCCAAUUUGUGCUGUAACUUAUUGUGUUUCCCUCCCCCAUAGACUGAAAAUGUCUCAAAGGCAAUAUCUCCAACAACUAGUAUGGGGACUAGUUUAGGAUAGACAUUCCAUAAAUGGUUGUCUAAUUGAAGUAAUAUUUAAUCCUACAUUCCACAAGGCAAAUGAACAUGUAAUGUGUCUUUUCCCAACAAGUGCUGCAUGGUCUAAGUAGCAAGGAGAAAAUUUCCUGGCAAUUAAGUGGUUUACAGUUGAUUGUAGUCCAUUCAGACCAAGUAAGCAGAGCCUCAAUUCCCAGAUGUCUUUGUCUCUCUCACUUCUAACCUAGCCAGGCCAGGGAAACAUUCCCAUAAGAGUAACCCAAAAUAUCUUCUUUUGCUGAUCUGAUUAUAGAAGAAAUACUUUCUUUGGAGAAAAUGCACAAGAGUAAAUUUUUUCUGCACUCCCCACCCCAACGAUAGAAAGUGGAGAGAGGAAAAUUGAAGCCAGGGGAAAAUCUCAACUGAAGAGAUGAAGAACAGAUAUAGCCAAGAUAACAGAUAUUGUUCUGGGUCAAAACUUCAGAGUCUAGCCAGGCAUGGUAGCACAUGCCUGUAAUCCCAGCAGCUUGGGAGGGUAAGACAGGAGGAUCACAAGUUCAAAGCCAGCCUCAGCAAAAGUGAGGCACUAAGCAACUCAGUGAGACCCUGUCUCUAAGUAAAAUACAAAAUAGAGUGGGAGAUGCGGCUCAGUGGCCAAGUGCCCCUGAGUUCAAUCUUUGGCACCCCCCAACCCCGCCUAAAAAAAACUUUAAAUAGAGUCUAAACCAUAAAGGAUUAGAUCUAUACCCCUAAAUUGAUCUUAGGAAAAGAAACAGAAGCAAAACAAAAUCUUUCCCAGAAGCUAUUUUUUGCAAUAAUAUCUGCAUUAACAACUAACUGGAAGUAAUCUAAAACUUCAAUUCAACAAAUAUUUUCUGAAAUACCAAAUACAGAGCACUGGACUUGUGGAAAUGUAAACCUAAUCUUAGUCUGUUAUUUUGUGCACUCGAUUAUUUUCUUCAUUGGGAAAGCACAGCAUUUUAGCCAGUGUUCAACUAAAGAAGCAGAACUACUGUGAGUUAAGGAAUAAAGGGUUUAUUAUUAUAAGAAUUUGAACUUUUAUGACUGUGAGAGUAGCUGGGGAAAGCAUACUCUGAAGAUAGCUGGAAGCAAGGAUCACCAACUAGUUAAUUCCAGAAGAAGCCAAGCACAACCAGCUGUCAUUUAGGGGCUAUAAAAGAAGAGUUGAUGAAACAUCUACAGAAUCUUUGGAUCCGUAGCCAAAUGUCUGGUGGUGGGCUUGAAGCAGGUCAGGAGUCAGGAAAAGCUGGGUGAGUUGAGGAAAGCGAGGACAAGCUGGAAACUUCUGUCACCUCUUCAUCUGUUACUAUUACAAACUCCCAUUAUUGUCAGAGCACAAUGGCUGUAAAUUCACUUCUCCUUCCCAAAACUCAUGCAACUAUUGCUUUUUAGUCAAUUUUAAUCAAGAACCAUACAGUUGCAGCUUACCCAAGAUGACCACACACAAAUUUCUUCCAUAACCAUAAAGUCAUUUCUAUAGUGGAAAAUAAUUCACUAAAAUGGAAAAAGUCUGGACUUUAAGUCCAUCAGGCCUGGGCUCUAAUCCUGGUUCUGUUCCUCUAGCAGUAUGACCACAGGUAAAUUCUCAUUUGGAGGACUUAAUGGAUCAGGCUUCCUUCCUCUAUGCUGCCAUAGUCCCUGUGCUUCUCUCUAUUGAAACAUUUAUUGUGGAGAGCCAUCCUCACGCGUGACUGGGUGACUCCCGGUUUGGGUCUGAGGCUUCUGGCUGUGUCGGAAUUUUCCCGGCCCUCUCCUGAUGAGAGAACCCGUCCGUGUGGGGGUGUGACUGACCACUGACCCCGGGGGCCCAAUCACUGACCCUGACCUUGGAGUGCGCCCCCCCCAACCUUCAUUGGAUGGAAUUAUCCCCUGAAUUUCUUGUUCCCCAAUAAAAGGCUACUCCCUGGCAUGCUCGCUCUCUCUCUCUCCUGCUAGCCCUGAGUAAUCCUUGCUGCCCUACGGGUGGUUCGAGGUUGGAGCCAGAGAGGGGAGCCGUCUCGGACCUGGUCAUAGAAAAAGGUAACUGAGUCUGUGUGUUUUAUUUCGAUCUCUGCUAGCUAACUUUUAUGCCAAGAACCUCAUUAAUGAAACCAAUGCACAGGCCGCAUGGUGGAAUUUAUAUUGUUUUAUUGUCAUUAUCUGUUAGUUUAUAUGUUCAUUUUAUAACAGUUCAUAGUUUUCUGUAAAUUCAAGCACAGUGGUAAUAUCUGGCUCCUCUCUGUGUUUAUCAUGUUUGAGUGCCUAGCACAGUGUAAAUGUCCAAUAGAUGUUUCCUUUGACAAUGAGUUUUUUAAACAGAGAAUAGAGGGGCUGGGUUUAUAGCUUAGUUGGUAGAGUGCUUGCCUAGUAUGCACAAGGCCCUGAGUUCAAUCCCCAGCACCACCAAAAAAAGAAAGAAAGAAAGAUUGAAACAGAAACUCAUCAGACUAUGAAGCUGGUAGUGGAACCCAGUACUAAGACAUUAAGGCAGUGAGACCCAUAUCUCUGUCACACUAUCAGCACCCUUUAAAAACAGGCUCCAGACACCCUCACCCCAUCAGUAGCUUAUGUCUUAAACCAUUCACUACAUCCUACUUCUCAACUCAUAAUCAUCCCUAUUUCAGACUCCUGGGCUUGGCUUCUGUUUAUGACCCAUUAUCACCUCUUAGACCUCUUACUUGAAAUAUUCAGGCCUUGGAUCUCUCUCAUUUGAGUUUUCGUUUUCCUCUUUGAUUACGCUAUUUUUACUUUGAUGGCAUAUUUUCCACCCCCUACCUGAGGUUCUUAGGUUAAAUACUAUGAAAGUCCUUGCCUUCGUGGAAUUCUCAGGCUGGUAAACGACAGAAAAGGAGGCCAGCAGUUUCAGGACAGUGUGGUAAGAGGUCUGGCUGAAGCAUGUCCAGAGUACUGUGGGCAUAUAGAAGAGCACCUAACCUCUCAGAGAGAAGGCUAGCCCUCAGAGGAGGGUAGUUUGAUCUGAGUCUUGAGAAAUUGCAUAGGAGGUUCUCAGGCAGAGAAAGGGAGGAUAGCCUUACAGAGAGUAGCAAUGCAGAGGUGUGAGGACAGGAGAGAUCAGAGUUUGGGGGACCACAGAUGGCUUGGUGUGGUGGGAAGAACAUGACAACAUGGUUGGCAAAUGGAGGAAGAUGACUAAAUUUCAGGUCAUGAAUGUCUUCGGUUCCAAACUAAGGAGUUCAAGCCUUACCCAGUAGGACAGAAGUUGUAAAUUAUCAAGAUGAUUUGGCCCAGAGAUGUGCUUUAUUUGCCCUACAUAAUUUUUGUUUUUUCUUGUUUUGUUAAAAUUUUUAAAUUGAGAGCUCUCAUAGGAAGUUCUGGAUCUCUACCUUCUGUAGAAAAACAAGAAGAUCUGGCCAUGCUAGACUCUCAUACAUUCCCACAUGAACUGAGUGUUGUUUGUCUUUUUAGAUCCCAUAUGUGUUUUGGAACUGCUACUCUUCACCACACCCUUUGUCAUCAUAUUUGCACUCUUGUUUUUCUUUAAAGGGAGAAAUAGUUCUGAGUACCACUGUCUCUUUGAAAAGAAGAGAAAUGGAGGUUUAGACCAAAGGAGCCAGGCAUUUCACAAAAUGGGAAAGAUGCAUGCCUCUGCAUGGAAGCAAAGAAACUCCCCGCUUUGAAAGACUUCACAUUUCUCCUAAAACCAGUUCUCUUCUUUUGUUUGUUAUCUGAAGAGUGAUGACUUCACAGGGCCACCUUACUUUCAUAAGAUCUUGCAAUACUCAGACCAUCAGGAAGGAAUGUGUCGGGUGUGCUACUCUUAAAGAAGGUGUAGGAGACAUGUACAUGUCUGGGCAGAACUUGUCGAAGAGAGGCCAGCACUCGCUCUCAGAGCCUCAAAUAAGUGAUGAAUCAAAUAGAAAGAAAUUGAGAAGACACAAAAGAGCUUGUCCUGGGCCCAAAAGCAGCUAAUGGCAGGAGUUCUCUGCAGCCAGCAACAGCCCAGAGGGAGUGCAGUACACUCCCAACCCCUGGAACUAGGGCCAAAAGACUGAGCUGCUCCCAUAUAAUUGGGGGCCUGGGAACUUCCCAGUUUUUCAGUAAGAGGGUUACUGAAUCCUUCAGGCCAACGCCCACUCCCCCUAGCCACCCCAUCCUGACAUCCUAGGACUGCACUUCAUUUCUAAGUAUCCAGCCCCCUGAGAUACUUGAACUCUUGCUUCUGCGCUCCAAACAGCUGGUGAGAGAAGGCUGCCUUGGGCUCCUUGGGGGCCUCCUGUCUUCAGUGAUGAUUCUCUGUAGCUCAGCUCUGGCAGUCUUACCUCCUCUCCCUGUGUAACUGAUCCCAGUCCUCUGGUUCUGUCAGCGCCUCUGCGAUGUAAACUAUGACAUGUGUGAGCCCCCAGCUGGGCGGGAACCCUAGAAGUGAAGUGUGAGUUUCCUCCCAGGUCAUCAAAGCUGCCUCUCUGCAGCAAGCCAGAUGUUUGGGAUCCACUAGUCUUAGAAACAGUACUUUCACCAGGGGGAUCAGGGAGAAGGGAUCCCCAAGCUUUCAAAUUGAUCUCCCUGCUCCCCAACUUUUCCCACAUCAAUUCUGCUUAUAACUGCAGAGUUAACAUACAUUAUAGCACAUGCUACAUAUGCCAUGCUUCUGGUCAAAAGCCUUCAGCAGGUCCUCAUUUUCUAUAAAAUUAAAACUAAAUUAUGUAUCCUAGCAUAUUGGGCCUUUCCCAGGAUGACUCCAAAAUGCUUUAUCUAGUCUUAUCUCCCACUCUAAAUGACACAUGUGCCAGCUAGAGUGACAUUUGGCAUUCUCUGCAGGCAUGGAACUUUCUUGCCCUGGUUCUUCUCUUCUUUCUUGCCCUGUCCAUCCUAUAAAUCUCAUCACAAUGUCACCUUUUAAUGCCCCUAAUAGCCCAGUCACAUGUUACUUCUUUAAGCUUGACGUACCUGCAACACAUCCUGGGUAUAGUCUACUUAUUUUAAUUAUAUGGCCUUAUAAUUAUAUAAAAAUUAUAAUUUUAAUUAUACCUUAGCCUUUUUUUCCAGACUGAGCUUUGACAAUGGGUCAGAUAUCAUUUAUCUGUAUCACCAUAUCCUGGAUAGGGCCUGGUGAAUGCAAGAUGCUCAGAAAUAUUUACUUGAAUUGGUUUUGUUUCCCAUUCCUGCCAUAUUUUAGGUGGAUUUGAAAAAAGCUUUCAUGGUACCUCUCAUAUAACCCUAUAUUCUUUAGCAAAGGACUAGCUCCUAGGUGUCAUUUUGUCCAAUCCUUAAUAUUAGGAAUCUCCCUGGCAUCCCUGCCAGGGGAUGAUGUCAAGUCAUUUUCCAUCAGGACAGUCAGAAAAGUGGUUUGAUCCAUCCAGGUGGAAAUAAAUACCUGGGACAAGAGAGGAAUUUUGUGCAGAAAGGCUCCAGAUUUAGUCCCAUUGUGUUUCACUGGGGUCUAGGCUAGAUGUUCUCAAUCCCCAGUGCCAAGAAAAGCCCAGACUGCUAGCAAUAGAGGACUAAGGCCAAACCAACUCGUGUGUUACUUGCAGCAAAACUGCCCUGUGUCCUGUGACUGACCUGCCUCAUCCUUAUGGGGGGCAUCAUGUUUUAAGUACCAAACAUCAAAGAUUCUAUGAAGUUCAUCCAGAAAUCAGUAGGCAAUGAAAUGUGGAAGAAAGAGCAUGGUUUUUGGAGUCAGCCAGACUGGAUUCAGUUUUCAUUGUCUUGCUCAGUGUGAUUGGUUAAGAACUCUAGGGUUAAGCAGAACUAGGUUAAAAUGUUUUUCUGGUAUUUCCUAUCUCUGACUUGGGACAAAUUAUGCAACUUCUCUGUGCUUUCAUUUUCUAAUAUGUAAAAUAGAGAUAGUGACACCAUCCUCAUUGACUUUUUUUAAAUAGAACUUUUUAAAAAUAUUUUUUUAGUUGUAAUUGGAUACAAUACCUUUAUUUUAUUUAUUAUUUUUAUGUGGUGCCUCACACAUGCUGGGCAAGUGCUCCACUGCUGAGCCACAGCCCCGGCUCCUCAUGACUUUUGGUGGCAAUUAAAUGAGAAAAAUGUGUAUCAGCCAGGAUGCCAAGUAACAAAUGAGAACUCAAAAUAGCCAAAACAGUAAAGACAAUUUAUUAUUUUACAUAACAAGUUCAGAAGUAGAGAAUUCUCUGGAUUGGCUCAUUUUUUUUUUAAUAGCUUCUUUAUCUUUAUGUAUUUAUUUAUUUAUUUUUAUGUGGUGCUGAGCAUUAAACCCAAUACCUCACACAUUCAAGGCAAGGCAAGUGCUCUAUCACUGAGCUACAGCCCCAGUGCCUCAUUUAUUGUUUAAGUCAGUUUUUUCACUGCUAUGACUAAAGGACCCGACCAGAACAAAUGUAAAGGAAAAAAGGUUUAUUUGGAGGCUCAUGGUUUCACAGUUCUUAGUCCACAGAAGGCCAGCUCCAUUCCUCAUGGCUUGAGGUGAAGGAGGAGAGGGUAACAAAGGGAAGCAGAGAGAGUCCACUCCCCAAAUACAACUUUACACCCAAAGCCACACCUCAUUUCCCACCUUCUCCAUCCAUACCCUACCACUUCAGUUACCUCUCAGUUAAUCCCUAUCAGGGGAUUAAACCACAGAUUGGAUUAAGACUCUCACAAACCCACCAUUUCUCCUCUGAACCACCUUGCAUUGUCUCACUCUGAGCUUUUGGAGGAUACCACAUCUAAACCAUAACAUUCAUUAAGACCCAGGUUUGGGCUGGGGAUGUGGCUCAAGCCGUAACGCACUCACUGGCAUGCGCGGGGGCCCUGGGUUCGAUCCUCAGCACCACAUAUAAAAAAAAUAAAGAUGUUGUGUCCACCGAAAACUAAAAAAUAAAUAUUAAAAAAAAAUUCCCUCUCUCUCUCUCUCUCUUUAAAAAAAAAAAAAAAAAAGACCCAGGUUUGUUUCAUGGUUAUCCUCUACACUAACCUCAGUGUGAAGGCUUUCCUAGGCUAGAUUUCCUCAUGAUCUUAAGGGGCUGUUACAGUUCCAAGCAUUACAUACAGACCCCAAUAUGCAACAGCAGAAAAAGGUCAUUUUCUUCUUUUGUGUCUAAUAGUGAGAAAACCUUUUCUAGAAAUUCCUUAUUGAUGUUUUCUCCCACAUCUUUGACCAGAGCUGGGUAAUAAACCUGACUGUAAUUCAGUGACUGACAAAGGUGUGGCCAGUCAUACUGGAGAUAGAGUCCGUUUUCCUAAGGAAUGGGUAUCUGAACAAAAUUAGGAUCAUGUUAGCAGAGGGCUAACAGAAAGACACCUAACAAUGCCUGCUAAAACAUUAAGUCUGGCACAUGGUAAUCAUUGAAUAUUUGUUAGUUAUUCUUGUUAUUUAUUCUUAUUCACUGUACAAAUUUAUUCAAGUCACAAAUCUCCUAAAGCCCCUAUUUCCUCCUCUAUAAAUUAGGAAUAGGAUUAUCUAAUUUGUUGAAUGGUUAUAAAAUUAAAUGAAAUCACAUAUGUAGUCUUUGGUGCUUAGUAAAUAAUAGCUAGUUACUAUAAUUAUCUAUAACUAUUGCCAGAAUACUUGGGCUACAGAUCUCCUGUGAAGGAUGUUGGGGUUGGUCCCAGCCUGAAAAAAAUCUCUGAAGAAUGUGCACUAGUAACAAUUUAUAAUUAUUGUUCUACAGUUGUGAUUCUGUAUAUUAAUGUGCCAGACCCUAAUCCGUUCCAUUCCCAGUAAGUAGUUNACACUCCCAACCCCUGGAACUAGGGCCAAAAGACUGAGCUGCUCCCAUAUAAUUGGGGGCCUGGGAACUUCCCAGUUUUUCAGUAAGAGGGUUACUGAAUCCUUCAGGCCAACGCCCACUCCCCCUAGCCACCCCAUCCUGACAUCCUAGGACUGCACUUCAUUUCUAAGUAUCCAGCCCCCUGAGAUACUUGAACUCUUGCUUCUGCGCUCCAAACAGCUGGUGAGAGAAGGCUGCCUUGGGCUCCUUGGGGGCCUCCUGUCUUCAGUGAUGAUUCUCUGUAGCUCAGCUCUGGCAGUCUUACCUCCUCUCCCUGUGUAACUGAUCCCAGUCCUCUGGUUCUGUCAGCGCCUCUGCGAUGUAAACUAUGACAUGUGUGAGCCCCCAGCUGGGCGGGAACCCUAGAAGUGAAGUGUGAGUUUCCUCCCAGGUCAUCAAAGCUGCCUCUCUGCAGCAAGCCAGAUGUUUGGGAUCCACUAGUCUUAGAAACAGUACUUUCACCAGGGGGAUCAGGGAGAAGGGAUCCCCAAGCUUUCAAAUUGAUCUCCCUGCUCCCCAACUUUUCCCACAUCAAUUCUGCUUAUAACUGCAGAGUUAACAUACAUUAUAGCACAUGCUACAUAUGCCAUGCUUCUGGUCAAAAGCCUUCAGCAGGUCCUCAUUUUCUAUAAAAUUAAAACUAAAUUAUGUAUCCUAGCAUAUUGGGCCUUUCCCAGGAUGACUCCAAAAUGCUUUAUCUAGUCUUAUCUCCCACUCUAAAUGACACAUGUGCCAGCUAGAGUGACAUUUGGCAUUCUCUGCAGGCAUGGAACUUUCUUGCCCUGGUUCUUCUCUUCUUUCUUGCCCUGUCCAUCCUAUAAAUCUCAUCACAAUGUCACCUUUUAAUGCCCCUAAUAGCCCAGUCACAUGUUACUUCUUUAAGCUUGACGUACCUGCAACACAUCCUGGGUAUAGUCUACUUAUUUUAAUUAUAUGGCCUUAUAAUUAUAUAAAAAUUAUAAUUUUAAUUAUACCUUAGCCUUUUUUUCCAGACUGAGCUUUGACAAUGGGUCAGAUAUCAUUUAUCUGUAUCACCAUAUCCUGGAUAGGGCCUGGUGAAUGCAAGAUGCUCAGAAAUAUUUACUUGAAUUGGUUUUGUUUCCCAUUCCUGCCAUAUUUUAGGUGGAUUUGAAAAAAGCUUUCAUGGUACCUCUCAUAUAACCCUAUAUUCUUUAGCAAAGGACUAGCUCCUAGGUGUCAUUUUGUCCAAUCCUUAAUAUUAGGAAUCUCCCUGGCAUCCCUGCCAGGGGAUGAUGUCAAGUCAUUUUCCAUCAGGACAGUCAGAAAAGUGGUUUGAUCCAUCCAGGUGGAAAUAAAUACCUGGGACAAGAGAGGAAUUUUGUGCAGAAAGGCUCCAGAUUUAGUCCCAUUGUGUUUCACUGGGGUCUAGGCUAGAUGUUCUCAAUCCCCAGUGCCAAGAAAAGCCCAGACUGCUAGCAAUAGAGGACUAAGGCCAAACCAACUCGUGUGUUACUUGCAGCAAAACUGCCCUGUGUCCUGUGACUGACCUGCCUCAUCCUUAUGGGGGGCAUCAUGUUUUAAGUACCAAACAUCAAAGAUUCUAUGAAGUUCAUCCAGAAAUCAGUAGGCAAUGAAAUGUGGAAGAAAGAGCAUGGUUUUUGGAGUCAGCCAGACUGGAUUCAGUUUUCAUUGUCUUGCUCAGUGUGAUUGGUUAAGAACUCUAGGGUUAAGCAGAACUAGGUUAAAAUGUUUUUCUGGUAUUUCCUAUCUCUGACUUGGGACAAAUUAUGCAACUUCUCUGUGCUUUCAUUUUCUAAUAUGUAAAAUAGAGAUAGUGACACCAUCCUCAUUGACUUUUUUUAAAUAGAACUUUUUAAAAAUAUUUUUUUAGUUGUAAUUGGAUACAAUACCUUUAUUUUAUUUAUUAUUUUUAUGUGGUGCCUCACACAUGCUGGGCAAGUGCUCCACUGCUGAGCCACAGCCCCGGCUCCUCAUGACUUUUGGUGGCAAUUAAAUGAGAAAAAUGUGUAUCAGCCAGGAUGCCAAGUAACAAAUGAGAACUCAAAAUAGCCAAAACAGUAAAGACAAUUUAUUAUUUUACAUAACAAGUUCAGAAGUAGAGAAUUCUCUGGAUUGGCUCAUUUUUUUUUUAAUAGCUUCUUUAUCUUUAUGUAUUUAUUUAUUUAUUUUUAUGUGGUGCUGAGCAUUAAACCCAAUACCUCACACAUUCAAGGCAAGGCAAGUGCUCUAUCACUGAGCUACAGCCCCAGUGCCUCAUUUAUUGUUUAAGUCAGUUUUUUCACUGCUAUGACUAAAGGACCCGACCAGAACAAAUGUAAAGGAAAAAAGGUUUAUUUGGAGGCUCAUGGUUUCACAGUUCUUAGUCCACAGAAGGCCAGCUCCAUUCCUCAUGGCUUGAGGUGAAGGAGGAGAGGGUAACAAAGGGAAGCAGAGAGAGUCCACUCCCCAAAUACAACUUUACACCCAAAGCCACACCUCAUUUCCCACCUUCUCCAUCCAUACCCUACCACUUCAGUUACCUCUCAGUUAAUCCCUAUCAGGGGAUUAAACCACAGAUUGGAUUAAGACUCUCACAAACCCACCAUUUCUCCUCUGAACCACCUUGCAUUGUCUCACUCUGAGCUUUUGGAGGAUACCACAUCUAAACCAUAACAUUCAUUAAGACCCAGGUUUGGGCUGGGGAUGUGGCUCAAGCCGUAACGCACUCACUGGCAUGCGCGGGGGCCCUGGGUUCGAUCCUCAGCACCACAUAUAAAAAAAAUAAAGAUGUUGUGUCCACCGAAAACUAAAAAAUAAAUAUUAAAAAAAAAUUCCCUCUCUCUCUCUCUCUCUUAAAAAAAAAAAAAGACCCAGGUUUGUUUCAUGGUUAUCCUCUACACUAACCUCAGUGUGAAGGCUUUCCUAGGCUAGAUUUCCUCAUGAUCUUAAGGGGCUGUUACAGUUCCAAGCAUUACAUACAGACCCCAAUAUGCAACAGCAGAAAAAGGUCAUUUUCUUCUUUUGUGUCUAAUAGUGAGAAAACCUUUUCUAGAAAUUCCUUAUUGAUGUUUUCUCCCACAUCUUUGACCAGAGCUGGGUAAUAAACCUGACUGUAAUUCAGUGACUGACAAAGGUGUGGCCAGUCAUACUGGAGAUAGAGUCCGUUUUCCUAAGGAAUGGGUAUCUGAACAAAAUUAGGAUCAUGUUAGCAGAGGGCUAACAGAAAGACACCUAACAAUGCCUGCUAAAACAUUAAGUCUGGCACAUGGUAAUCAUUGAAUAUUUGUUAGUUAUUCUUGUUAUUUAUUCUUAUUCACUGUACAAAUUUAUUCAAGUCACAAAUCUCCUAAAGCCCCUAUUUCCUCCUCUAUAAAUUAGGAAUAGGAUUAUCUAAUUUGUUGAAUGGUUAUAAAAUUAAAUGAAAUCACAUAUGUAGUCUUUGGUGCUUAGUAAAUAAUAGCUAGUUACUAUAAUUAUCUAUAACUAUUGCCAGAAUACUUGGGCUACAGAUCUCCUGUGAAGGAUGUUGGGGUUGGUCCCAGCCUGAAAAAAAUCUCUGAAGAAUGUGCACUAGUAACAAUUUAUAAUUAUUGUUCUACAGUUGUGAUUCUGUAUAUUAAUGUGCCAGACCCUAAUCCGUUCCAUUCCCAGUAAGUAGUUCCCCUUUGUUUCAGGAGGCCCAAUGACACAAUGAUCUGUGCUAAGUGGUCCAUUCCCCUGGCUUCCUUGCCCUUAGAUGGUACUAGAGGCAAUCCCACCUCCCCUAAUAAAGGGUUCGAUGGCCAAGACUAAAAAGCCAGAUCACUUUGAGUCCUCAACUCAGGAUGGGAACUUGAUGGGCAGGAAGCAUCUCCUGUCUCCUUUGCUUCUCCACAGCACCCAGGACCAUGGCUGUGUGUCAGAUCCCAGCUCCUAUCCCAGCUCUGUCACUUACUGGGAGUGUGACCUUACGCAAAGCAUGUUAUUCUAAUUCCCAAUAUGUGUAAAAUGGAUUGGAGGGUCAUCUUUUGUCACUUUCCCUCAACCUCAAGCCUCCAAUCCUUGCAAAGACUUGGUGUUCCUGAAUGACCACACUGCCUCUCCCCAUCCUUUACCUAUGCUACUUCCUCUGCUGAGAUCAAUGCCAACCUCAUAACUAUUCUCACCUGAGUCACCCCUCCUCUCCAUUGAGGAUGAGGUUCAGGAAAGUACUUCCUCUUUCUCCACUUCCCAUCCACAACUUAAGUGAUCUUAAAGCACCUUGCACUCAGUUGUAUCACUGCAUUGAUCUCCCAGGAUUGUAACUCUCACUUUUCUGUCUUCACCACUAGAUUGAGAGCAAGGUCACACAUAAAUACACCCCUGACUUAUUCACUGCUUUACUUUUUUACUCAUCUGAUGAGUAAAGGGCAUGAUCAAGUAUUAUCACUGCACUGAAGUCUUAAUAAGACUUCAGGGAGCUCUGCAGUUCCCAGUAAAAUUGCCAUGGGUGUUGCAUGGAGCCCCAGAUAGCACCCUGGAAUCAUUCCCCCUUCGUCCUUCUUCACUCCUGGAAUCCCAACCACAGCAAAAAAGCAUGAUGACUUACUUCCUGAGGAGACUGUCCCAGCAAGUAGAGCAUUUCAAUAAACAAAUAAUAAAAGUGUAGAACAAAUGGAAGAGGGAAAUAUAGGCCCCCAAGAGGAGGAUUGGAAUCAGACUUGGCAAAGGGCUACGAAUACAUCCAAAGCUGACAGAUUUAUGAUAGGGAAUUUUGUGUUUCCACAUGGACCUCGCCUGCCUCUAGUACAAUAACAGGCAGGAUGGGACAUAGCAGCAGAGUGAUUUGGAGGAGGUAGGACACCUAGAUUCAUUUUACUUGGAAAGAACUCUGAAUUUUUACAGUACAUCUUCAAACAUACGAAUCUUGAAUGGUCUUAAGGGGAUACAGAUACCUUAAUGCCCACAUGUGCUCUCACUUUCUCUUUUCUUCCUACUCUCUCCCUACCCCCUUCUUUUCUUACACGCUCACUCUCUUUCCCCCCAUCCCUCUCUUCCUUUUGCAGGAUUAAUUUAAAAAAAAAAAAAUCAUGAUCAUAUUCCCAUCCUUCCCCCAACAAAUUAGAAAAGAGACACUUAGCUUAUUUUUUAUAUUUCUGGAGCUCAGAAGGAUUUAGGCAUACUAGAUUCUUCUAUUUGUCUGAGUUGACCCAAAUGUCUCCAUUCCACAUUUUAAGGUCCCAUUCCUUCCAAUCUGGUGCCUUAACUUCCAUGUAAGAAGCCUGAGGAAUUUAUGAUUCCUAAUAACAUUAUAUCUUUGUGCCCAGAGGAUCAAAAUUUUCAAUUAUAUUAGUCCUACAUAGCUCAGACUUUUAAAAAAUAUUUUAGAACUAUAACAGAAGCUCUCUGUUUCUUUGAAUACACUUAGAACUAAGAUUUUAGAACUCUAAACAUGUAAUCCUUUUUAUGAGAUAUUUGACACAGUCAGAAGCAGCCAGUCCAUUUAAAAUCCUUUUAAUUAGCCAGUGCAGUGAUGCAUGCCUACAAUUCCAGUGACUUGGGACUCUGAGGCAGGAGGAUUGCAAGUUCAAGGCCUCAGCAACUUUGUGAGACCCUGUCUCCCCAAAAAAAGAAAAAAAAGUGUCUGGGGAUGUAGCUCAGUAGAAAAGUACCCCUGAGUUAAAUCCCCAGUACCAAAAAAUAAAAAUAAAAAUCCUUUUAAUCACAAAGACUUGCCUUCAACAAGCAUUUCAUCCUAGGUACUCACAUGUGAGUUUAAAUAACUUUUCUUUUAUUUUUGGUUCUCUUUAGUUAUACAUGACAGUGGACUCCAUUUUGAUAUAAUUAUACAAGCAUGGGUAUCUUAUUCUAGUCGGGAUCCCAUUCUUAAGAUUCACUGUGAUGUUUUUAUAAAUGUACAUAGCAAAAUUAGGUCAGAUUCAUUCCACUGUCUUUCCUUUUCUUAUCCUCCCUCCCUUCCCUCCAUUCCUUAUUGUCUAAUCUACUAAACUUCUGUUCUCUUUUGAUGCUGCAUGCCAUGUCAUGGACCAUUAAUUGUUGGGAAAUGAAAUUCACCAGAGGCUUCCAGAUAUGUCUUUGUAUAGCCUCAUAAAAUGUGCCAUACUGCAAGGGCUAACAUCCUCUGGCCCUAAGUCAUUUCUGUAUAGUUACAAAGACAAUAAGAUAGGUCAAGGGGGCCACAGCAUGGCUGCUAUACCAACUGUUCAUUCCCCAGGGAGGGAGAUGUGCUUGUUGACUGCUUGUUAAGCCCUUGGCCUAGGGUUUAUCCUUAGGAAGAGCACAACCUUACUACAUGUAGUUGCCAUGUGGGCCAUUGCAUGCCCCCUGAGACUUAUUACUCUUUGCUAUCUUCCAGGAGGUUAGGGCUCUUCCCUGACACAGUGUCCCAUUUUCCAUUGCAAUGAGGUCAUCACUGAAUUUUAGCCUGCUAAGGUCAUAUUACAAUUCCAGAUUCCCAUCUUUGAGGGUCAGUUUCCCAUGCCCACUUUUCUGUCAGUGAGUGUUCCAUCAGGAAAACAAUCAUUCUAGAUCAGUGUUAGCCAAUAUGAUAGCCAUGAACCCAGGGGCACUUUAUCCCUGGAUUACAUCCUCAGGCUCCUCCCCAUACCCUAUCUAAAAAAAAAAAAAAAAUUGAGACAGGGUCUCUUAAGUUGCAGAGACUGGUCUUGAACUUGAGUUCCUCCUGCUUCAUUCUCCUGAAUUGCUGGGAUUAAAUGCAUGUGUCACCAUGCUCAUCUACCACAUGUAGCUAUUUUCAUUUAAAUUAUUAAAGAAAAUGGAAAAUUCAGUUCCUUAAUCACAUUAGCCACAUAUUGUUAGGAGGCACUGUAUUGGACUGUAGAAUUAGGCUGUUUCUAUCAUCACAAAACGUUCUAUGGGACAGUGCUGCUCUAGAUAAUUUCAAGCAGAAAUAGAUUUAAUGCAGGAAACUGUUUACAAAGAUGUUGAGAACUUGAAGGUGCCCACAUUGGAAAGGGCAUGGAAGGUUAGAGGAGAGAAGAGGAAGGUGCUGCCACCCUGGGUGAAACGGUCUCCUGUAGGUACUAGUUUACCAGGGACAUGCUGCUGAGAAGGAAUAGUGGCUCUGGAGGAUCCUAGGUGCUGGUGCUGUUACCACUACUGCUAGAGUUGCCACCAAAAAGUAGAACAAAACAGAGCUUCUUAUCCCUACACACUUUCACUCCCACCAACACCUUCUAUCUAGCAAGGGGGUUCAAAGAAUAUAAUUUGCAAGUUUCUAUACUUCCUGUAAUACUAAGGAGGGCAGAGAGGGUGGGAAUAUAUCUUACAACAAAUAGACAAAUAACUGCAAAGUGGGGAUUUUAUCGAUAUUAUUAGGACAGGAAACAGGGCCCCCUACCUUUGCUUAUAUUUAUUGGCUUAGCUUUAGUAACAGCUCUUCCCCUUCAUGCUCCAGCAUAUAGAACUUCUUUCCAUUUUUCCUAUCACCUGGAAACUUGUUCCUCCUCAGAUCUUACACUUUUCUUCUCUCUCUCUUUACAUGGCUGGCUAUCCAUAUCCUUCAGAUAUCAGUCAGAUUUGACUUGCCCAGAGAGACCUUCCAUGACCUUGCCAACCUGCCUAAAAUAGCUUCAUCUCUUGACCUCCUGUCCAACCAUCUACCAUCAUGGCACUCUGUUUAUUUUACAAUUCUUGUUUUAUUUUAAAUUAUCUUCUGUGUUUAUUUUCUGUCUCUCCUUACUAGAAUGUAAGUUCCAGGAAGGCAGGAAGCUAACUGCCUUAUAUUGUGAAGUUCUGUAUUCUCAGCACUUAUAAUAGUUCCUGGUAUAUAAUAGGCACUCAGUAAAUAUAUAUUACCUGAAUGAAUAGUUUUCAUUCACUCUUCACGUGUGAAAUCUUUCCUCUCUCCCUAACUGGGUGAGGUAUUUCUGCUAUAUGUUCCCAGAGAACCCACCCUUCUGUCAUUAUAACAAUUAUUACAGAUGGCCCUCUGCACCCACAAGUUCUGCGUCCACAGAUUCAACCAAAUGAGAUUCAAAAAUAGUUGAGGAAAAAAUGCAUUUAUAAUAAAAAUGUACAGAUUUUUUUCUUGUCAUUAGUUCCUAAGCAAUAUGGUAUAACUAUGUACAGAACACUUAUAUUGUGUUGUGUUUAUAACUAAUCUAAAGAUGACUCAAAGUAUAUGGGAGGAUGCAUGUAGGUUAUAUGCAAAUACUAGUCCAUUUUAUAUAAAGGGCAUCUGUGGAUUUUGGCACCUGUUAGAGUGGUCCUGGAAUCAACCACCCAUGAGUUCCAAUGGAUAACUGUGCUUCAUAUCUGAUCCCUUACUGGACUAUAAACUCAUUGAAAUCAGAGACCAUGUCUGUUUUUCUCCUAGAUGAGUCCCUGCUGCCUAGCAUAGUAUCUGGGUUAUAGCUAGAAAUGAUAAAUUCCUGAUACUGUUCCACCAAUGAGUUUGGAAGAAGAUUUAGUGAUGGUUAUAUAGAAACUAAUCAAAAGAAAACAUUAAGGCAGUUAUUAACUCUAGGAAAAAACUAAAAUCUUAACAAGAAUGAAAACUUAACUAUAGAGCUUUACACAACUUGAUUGUGACUAAUAUUCAUAGAGUCAUAAUCAGAGCCAAUAAGACUGUGCUAGUUCUGUUGGACCUUAUUAAUUGUUAAACAAUUGAAAUAUUUCUAUGCUGGUUAGUAGACACUAACUACCCUGAACUCUGUAUUCUGCUGCCACUGCCCUGGUUGCCCCUGCCCAUACUUCCCUAUCUUAGAGCUCUCUAGAACUUCCCAGGAUCUAGCACUAAAAAUACAAUACCAGGUAUAGCCAGGGGCUCUAGAACCUUGCCCAAAAGGCUAGCAUCUGUUUAGAUCAGUUAGUACUUAUACCAUCAGCCUCCAGUCCCUUCUGGGCACUGCCUUUGGCUCCCUCUGAAGGCCUAUGUCAGCCUUACUUGCUACACCUGCCUGCCCAGGUACCCUGCAUGGGAAACAUCUGUUCUGGUGCCCCCCGCCUGCCUGCCUCACCUCCCAUGCAUAAUCCCAGGUCCCUAAGUAUUCUGCCUGCCCCCAGCAGGCUUAGACCUUACCAGGAGAGACAGCAAUCCUGGAGGGGAUGUUGGCAUCUCAGAGAAAAAAAAUAUUUUUCAUGGUAAUUCUGCUUAUAAUAUGUAAGUACUGAACAAUUAUUUAACCAAAAAUUAUGAUAUAAUUAUAGGUCUAGUAUACUGGAUUAUAGGCAAGAAAAUGAGAAAUCUAUUGUCAAAGUCAGUAGAUAAUGUUUGAACUUAAGAUCAGGAGACAGCAGUAUAAGUAUCUUUUGGGAAAAUGGAAGCAUAUACCAAAGAAACAACUGAAUGAAUUAAAAAGUAUUUUGUUGUCUCUGAGGAGCAAAGUUAGAAGUGGGGAAGGAUAGGGCAGGACUCUACUAUUUUUAUUAUGAACCCUAGAGAAAAUUUUGACUUUUGAGCUAUGUGCAUUUACUCUUUUUUAAAAAAAAAUUAAAUUUAGGAGAUGGUUGCAAGAAUCCUGAUGAGAGGCAAUAGCCAAUAGCAAACGUAAUGAGAAAGAGAAAAGUGGAUCCAAGAAUAUUUAGAUAAUUCAGUAUAACAUGGUGAUUGUUCAGUGCAAGACGUUGAGGAAGCAGGGAGAGAAAAGAGACACAGAUUGGUUAGCUGGGUUGGAAAUGAUUCUUUCUCAGUGAACACUUGGAUGCCAAAGGUCCCUCUAGGCAUCACAUAUAGCAGAAAUGACUAACCCUUUUGGGGAGAAUUGGAACUAGUUCACAGAGAAUCAGAGAUUUGAGCUGAGUCUUCAGGGAGUAUAGACAUGCCCAUUUCCACAGGGGCUGAGCUCUAGGUGAGAAGGCAUUAUAAUGGAAGUUAUUCUUGGACAAGGGUGGUAAAGAUCAAUAGGAAAUACAAAGGCACAAAAGCAUGGGAGCAUCAUUUUGUGGGGGAAAUAGUCAGUUGUCCCAUGCAGUGUGGGUGUUUGGGAGGCAGUUUGGGAGAAAAAAAAAUAGUAGGAAACCAAGCAAGAAGAGAAAUUUGCAGCCAGAGUCCAAGGACCUAUAAUGCAGCCCAAGUGGUCCUCUCCCUUGAACUUAUGGCAGUGUAACAGGCACAAACCUUUUGGGAAACAAUUUAGAAAUUUACUUUAGAGGCCAUUAAAAAUGUUUCUAACCUCUAUAUUAGUGAAUCUAUUCCUGGGAAUUGUUCCUAAGGAGAUGCAGUUUUUAAAGGAUGGGUGAGCACUAUCCACUAAAAUAUUUAUUGUAUCAUUAUUGAAAAUAGUGAAAGAUUGGAAAAUAACCAAAAUUUCCAUCAGUGGAGAAUAUGUAAGUAAAGUGCCGCAGUCUGGCUGGGCACAAAUGCCGCAGUCUGGCUGGGCACACAAUCACGAGCCACCACACAGCUUGUAGAUUCAAACAGCAACUCUUUAUUCCCGAACUCACACCAGCCAUCUACAAUCACGUUCUGGGGAAAUCCACGUUCUCUGCCCAAAUCCACCUCCACUGGGCUUCUGUCUCCCAAAAUAUACUGUCUGAAUCCCGUGAGAACUCAAGAGGAACUCAGGCAGCAGGAUACACCCUAUUCCCAGCAGGAAUAAUCUUAAACCUUAAACCUGGAACCUAAACUGGGAACGCCCUAAACACGAUUAUCUUAAAACCGGGAACACCCUAAUCUGCCUUGGUCCUUGAGCAAGGUCACGUACAUUCAAUGUCACUGCAACAUGAGGUACGCUGGCAAGGAAAUUGUCAUACCUACUUGGCUAAUGGCUCCCAGCAGUAAAGGAUGGCACAUUCACUCAAUGAGCAAUAAAUAUGCAGACCAAUAUGCCUGUCAGAAUUUGGGUGAGCUUCCCAGGAGUUCUUUUGGGCCUGGGGAAGGAAAGGUAGUCAAAUGUAGGCAAGAGAGAAAAAAGCAAGGUGGAUGCUGGGUGAACCUCUAUAAGGGGAGCUACCUUUUUUUGAGCAUUUCCUUUUGGUAUCACUUAAUUCUUUCUGCAGUCCAAUACAGGUGGUACUAAAACCAUAUUCAUUUUUUCAAAUAAGAUCCUAAGAACUCAAAGAGAUGGAGUAAUCCACCCAAGAGCAUGUAGAUUCAAAGUAGAGGAGCUGAGAUUAACUCAAGUCAAUGUGGUGGCAGGGCAGUGUUUUUCCUUUGCAACAUGAUGCUAAUCAUCAAUAAAGAUCAUGUUAUCUAAGGGAAGUCCCUUUUACAUGGCUACUGGCAUUUUUGUUCAGUUUUGGGUAAUAAGGGCAAGACUGCAUGGACACUGGUGAAUAGCAAAAUGGAAAAUACUAAAAUACAAUGCUGAGCAGUAAAAAUAGAAUGUGUGAGGAUCACGAGUUCAAAGCCAGCCUCAGCAACAGUGAGGCACUAAGUGAGACCCUGUCUCUAAAUAAAAUACAAAAUAGGGGAUGUGGCUCAUAGUUGAAUGCCGCUGGGUUCAAUCUCUAGUACCAAAAUAAUAAUAAUAAUAAAAAUAGAAUGUGUAGUUGUACCAGAGAUAAAAGCAACCAAAAGCAAUUAUGUCCCAGAAAAGAGCAGAAAUGAGCAAGGAGAAAUGGGAACAGGUAAUGUGUGAGUGUUCUUUUUCCUCUUUCUCUUAUUUUUAGGGUUUCCAUUCUUAUCACUGUAUCAUUUGCACAAUAAAAACCAAUUUAUAAUGAAAGAGGGAAAGGACGGAGAAAAUGUGAACCUCUGGGGUGGCCCACAGCAUGCCUGGAGUCCAUCUGUAGCUGUGGGUCUUCCAGAGUCAUUCUGAUGGCAGCACUGGUAAAGAAGCUGGCUCCUCCUGGACAGUGGAGGGAAGGAGAAAAAUGCAGCAUGUGACCCAGGCCAAGAGGCUUUGGUUCUCUGUAGUGUUGGUGUCAUUGCCACAUCUGACAUGAAUCUCUUGCCUGGCUGGGGAGGUACAGCUGGGAUCCAGCACCAUCUAGCCUGGGAGUGUUUUCAUCUGUUGGUUCCCUGUCAUUUUUCAUAUGUCAUUAGCUUUCCUGGCGGGGGCUUUAGUUAACUGCACUGGAGGAAGGGCCUGCUUGAGAUUCUGAUUGAGAGACAGAGGCCAAGGUGACAUCAGCCAGAAAAGCAAAAUGCAACAGCAAUGCCCAUGCCUGGGUUUCUUUUAUUCAUACUCAUAUUCACACCUCACUUGAUUUCAUUCUGUCCUUUAGGUCACCAUUCCUUUCCAGAUGCCACACAUUUGCCCACAUUGUUCUCUCAGUCUGGAGUGCCUUUUCUCCUGCUUCUUGAGAAAGCUAAACCCUGUUCAUGCUUUAGUACCAUUUCCUUGAUGAACCUUUUCCCAAUGUCCUUUUGGGGAAUGAAUCAUUCCCUCCUCUGGCUCACAAAGCACUUGACUUGUAUUUUUCCUAUGGCAAUUGUAAUUUUUUUUUUUUUGCAGUACAUUAUAGUUAUUUAUGUCCAUGUCUGUUUCUCCUACUAACUAGUGAGCUUCUCAAGGUGGCCAAGGAACAUGUUUUAUUCAAUUCUGAUUCCCCACACAGCAUAGCCAAGUCUGGCAUAUGGUAGGUGCUCAAUCAACAUGUGGAAUGACAUUAAAUUACAAUGGCUGAGUUCUUCCUCUUUAUAUGUGAUGGACUCUCUGGGAAAGCUAUUGGGAUUAUAGGCAGAUGACCAAUUGGUUUUAUAUCCAUUUCUUUCCUGAGCAUUCUGAAAGAGGCAGGAAGAGGAAGAGAGUUAAAGUUAUCUGUAGAUCUAUAUUCCAGAGAUUUCAGCCAGUGCUCUUUAGAGGGGGUGAUAAUAUGAUUAAAAACUAACAUAUACAAAGACUCUUAUUCUGUCAUACCCAUAUUAACUCUGUCAAGUCUCACAAAGACACUAUAGGAUAGGAAGUAGGCUGGGUGGGCAAUAUUUACUUGUUCCAGUUUUACAGCUGAGGAAACCAAAGCUCAGAAAAAUGAAAUGAUUUGCCCAAGAUUAUAUCAACUCAAGGUAGGGCUGGGAUUCAAAUUCAUAUCUCUGAUCCACAUCCCAUUCUCCUGGCAUUGUUGAGGUGACAAUGGCGUAGGCAACCAUUCUCCCUGAUAAAGGUUUGCAAAGGGAAGGAAGGAACCCUGUGGUUUAACCUUGAUAGCAUAUAUUUGCAUCCAGCCCCAGUUAUUAUCCAUUUACCUGCUCCACUAGUGGUUUAAUUUCUCAAGGUCAAAAGCCAUCCCUUUUCCUUUCUCUCUCUCAAACUCAGGUCUUUGGCAAGCCCCACACUUUUGCUGGGUCUUGGUUUUCAUGUCGAUAAAUGAGGCUGAAGUUUAAAUUGGGUCACAUUUAUGCCAGCGCCCAGCACAGAUUCUGCCCACAAUUUCCAUCACCCUCCCAGUGGACGACUCCCAGUUCCAACACUAGAGGCCUCCAGGACUCCAGCUGACAUGAUGGAGUGUGGACCCUAAAUGCUGAACCCUCUUCCCAGGCUGGCUGCGGAAACUGAACCUCCUCCAGACAGCAGGGCUGCUCCACUCACGCGGAUCAAGUCCAGAGCCUCAUUAGUCAUGUCAGAUGACAUAGUUAACACUUGGGGCCAGCACAGCCAGUUCAUCAAAAGCCCCUAUGUGCCUGGCUCCAUCACUGCAGCUGAGGAACUACUGUAUGUAGAGCAGGCAGCACAUCAGAGGAACAGCGCCAGAGUGCUUCCAAAUUGGUUUUGAUUAAUUGCAUAGACAUGUCUUUAAUUGGUGCCAGGAUAGCGGCCAGAGAACUUAUGGGAAAGCAGGAUGUUAUGCUUUCGUUCCCUGAUGUCCCAUAAAGCAGUGAAAGAUGAGGAACAGAAUCACUGCUCGUUGGAAAUUUAUCGACCGUGCAGAUCCAGAAAACACAAAUAACUAUCUGAAUCGAAACCUAACCUCAUUUUCCCAACUCAUUGGAAACCAUGCAUGUUCCCCUCUGCCCUGCCUGCCCGCCUGCCUGCUAAGAUGUGCAGUUGAGCAAAAUGUGUGAUUUCUAAGAAAUGAGCUAGACCUGAAACAGUGUCCUCAGCUUUCCCCAGGUCCUCCUAGAGAAGACCUGGAGAUAUCAGCCCCUUGAGAAGCUCCUCUUCCUCCAGCUCAACACCCUCCCAUGAACUGAUAUCUGAAGCAUUCAUUCACACAUUCAUUCUUUCUUUUCUACCUCUUGUAGGUUUAAGACAUAUGUACUGAAUAUGUACUGUUCUGGUGCCAGAAGGAAUAUAGAAUGGAGACAAGUACAGAGCCUUCCUUUGGGAAGUGGUUCUUUAAGAGAAGACAGAUCCAUGGAUGAACUAAUGCAUUGCCAGUGGUACCACAUAAGAGAUGAAGCAUUGGAAUUUGGCAUCAAGAGGACUUGGGCUUGAAUCUCAACUCUGAUUUAUAUUACUAAGCUGCCUCAGGUAGUCUCUUUGAUGGUCUGAGUUUUAACUACAGAAUAGAAUAAUACUGCACAUGGCAGUUGUGAGGCCAGUAAAAGCACAAGGCCUGGCAGUGAUCAAUAAAUGUUGCCACGUCUGAAUAAGCACCAUCAGGGAGGUUCUGAUAGAGUGCUAUGAGAGAUUUCAUAUAUUCCAGAAACAAAUGGUUACUGAUCACAGAUCCUAUGCCAGGCUCUGUGCUAUGCAUUGGAAAUUUACAUAGGAGCUCAGUGCUGUCCUAAAGAGUAGCAAUGAUUUGGAAUGGUAACAAUGGCAGAGCAUUUCACUGUGCACACACAAGUCACUCAGAAUUAAUGGGGAGGCAGUGGUCACUUCUACCUGGGAAAUCAAGAUAGAUUUGCCUGAAGAGGCAAUACUUGAAUUGAGUUCAGAUGCAUGAUAAGAUUUUCAUUUGCAGAUAAAGAAGGAAGGGUGUUCCAGGCAUACUGCUAUUGUUUUCUUCUGCUAUGGUCUGGAUGUGGUUUGUCUCCCAAAGGUUCAUCUGACUGUUAGCUUGGUCCCUAGCAUGGUGGUAUUGAGAGGUGGUAAAAACUUUGGCUGCUUUGUGCCAUGUAUAACCUGAUAUUUUCAUAUUUUUAAUUUAUUUAUUAUCUGUCUCUCCCACUAGAGUGACAGACAGGUUCAUGAGAACCUGAGAUCCUGGCUGUCUCUUCCUCCACUCUGUUAAAACAUCUGGAGCAUUGCCUGUAGGUGUUCCAUACAUGUCUGUUACAUGACAAAAUAAACAACUGGAGGCACAGGAGUGCAUGCUGCAGUCAAAAAACCUAACAUAAGCAUAGGGCCUGGCACACUAAAAGCACUGGGUUUUUUUCAUGAAAUUAAUAAGGCAAGAGGAAUUGAGGUAGGUGGUAACAGAAGAUGUGACCGCUGAGCUGCACCCUGAAAGCAGAGAAGUAUAACAAUGUAAUGGGAUUGUUGGUGGGAGGACCAGGAGGAACAGAUCAGAAAACUUUGAAACCCUUUCCAAUCUCGAGCUUCCAAAAAUUUCUCCAGAACAGAUCAUCUCUUACCACCCUUCCUGGUCCCCUCACUCACACCCCUUCUUUCCACUCCACCCUGUCUGGAGGCUGUAAGACAUCUGACACAUCAUUUCCUGCCAAUGUAAAUCACAGACUGAUGUGUGAUACUCUUUCUCAGUUUUUACCAUCCCCCAGGUAGAGAUGGCCCCAUAGUCAGGGUGGAGGCCCCAAGCAAAGCCAGUCUUUCCACAGGGUGGCAAACAGAGGGGAACUGUUUACCCACCAGCACCUUCCUGGCUCUGCUCCCAGAUAAUUUUAUGUCCUUUGGUCCUGAAUCUGGGCCUUAGUUGGAUGCACCUCAGUUCACUUGCUGGAGCACUGACGUGUGACUGUUUUAACUGCUGCUGCUUCCUGUCCCAGCAAUCCUGUGCUUCAGGGACCAUGGGAAAGAGACAAGAAAGAGAGCUUUAUAUGAGGUAAGUCUUGGCAGUAAUAAUAAAGGCCAAAGACUAACUUCCACUUACAUAGUGCUUAACAAUUUACAUAGCCUUAGAGAACUCCUAUUCAUCCUUCAAGAUCCUGCACAAAUGUUUUCUCUUUUUACCAAACUUCAACUCUAUCAGGUAGAGCGUUCCCUCUAUUCUUGGUAAAAACUCUGUUGUUGCCGUUAUUGCCUUGCAACACUCUUUAUUUGUGUACCUGUCUGAUUUCCUCCAUUAAAUCUUCAAUUCCUUGUGUGUAUAUGUCUUCUCUCCCAGUAAAAUAUAUUUCUUUAUUUAAAAGCAAUGUCAAUGUUCAUUAUACAUAAUUUUCUAAUUAUAAAAGUAAUAUUUAUAGUCACAAUAAUAAAAUUGUAUAAAAGUAUAAUGAAAUUUUAAAUCCUCUAUAAUUUCAUCACCCAGAUAAAACCACUAUUAACAUUUUGGGUGUAUCUUGAGCCUUUUUUAGCAUAUAAGAAGUAAAAAUGAGACUAUACAAUGUAUAUGUUUUUAUAGUGUGAUUUUAUUAGCUGUUGUGAACAUCUUCAAACAACAUGGAUGAUUCUUUAAAAAUAUCAUUUUAAAUGGCUGCAUUAUUUUAUUCAGUGUGUAUACAAUAAUUAACCUAACAAUUUCCCAAUUGUGGGGCAUUUUCUUUUUACUCUUUUACAAAAAAAAUGCUGCAAUGAAUAAACUGCAUAUGUAUACA
rnacentral:lncRNA from 1 species